GUUUCAUUUUAGAGAUAAGAAAGCUUUCAUGAAUAAGGAGUUCUUGGUCAUCUGAACAAGAGGAGAGGAUUUCAAAGUCGUCAAUAGAACCAGUGUGGCCUGUGGAUGUAAGAAAAAGCUGGACUGGGGAGGAUUUUUACAUAGUUUGCCAGUGAUAGGAGUGAUACCCAGGUGUUCCGAAACUCGGGUGUGUAGAUGGCGCAGUUUCUAACAACAGUUAGAAAACAAAUGAUUAGCAAUUAUCUCAAUGGUUUCAUCAACAGGGAUGUUAGUAAAGAGUGAAGUAACAUCAAAACUAGCCAUUAUAACAUUUACUCGUGUCAAGAUCAGAAGAAAGAAGCAGUUCCUGGACGAAAGAGAAGGAAUCCUUAAUGACAUAAGUGCUGGUCGAGAUGGGAGCGAGAAGAGGAAUAAAGAAUUUAGCAAUAUUAUACGAAUAAUGAUUAAUGCAAGAGAGGAUAGGCCUAAGUGGGAUAUUACAUUUUUGUGUUUUACGUAGUCUAUACAGGAUGCCUAAGCGUCAACCUGUAGGAAACAGAAACUCCAAACGGAACUCCAGCGCCUACAGACAAUGUCAGAAUAAACUGUUACAAGAUAAAAUCAACGCCAAACACGCAAGAAUACGAAUAUUAUCAGCGCCAAUAACAACAACACACGCGAACCUGGCUUCACUUGUUUCUACGCUUGAUUUUAUUCACCUACAGUAACUACAUAUCCGAUCGUGAAAAUUCAAAGAAAUUGAACCAGCAACAACGUGUUGAAGAUCGAAAGUUAUUUCGCCUAAACGCUGAGUAAAAACACUCAAACACAAUAGAUCCGAAUGCAGUGGUGUUCAAUUUCUCAAACCGACUCAUCACAGAUAAAGAGGAGGAGAUUCUUUCGAAAGGUUUGAACUUUGCCAUUCCGCCUGCUAAGCUUAAUUUGUGCGGUUUCUUUGCGCUAUUUGAAAGACUGUUUUCUCAACUUAAACGAGAACCGGUUUACGAACAAUCUGGAUUUUACCCGGCAUUUAUUAAGACCCGAAUGAAAGACAUAGCUCAUUCUGGUUUCCGGAGCUAUAGUCGGCCGGAUUUCUUAUACUCCAAAGAAGAGAUCAACAUGCUAAAUGACUUACGAAAAGACAGUAACAUCGUGAUAAUGAGACCUGAUAAAGGUAACGGCGUUGUUAUCCUAAACAAAGAUGCUACAACAAGAAAAUGGAAGAAAUUCCGUCUGAUAACACGAAAUUUGAACUCUUGAAUGAAGAUCCUGUCAAAGCAACACUACAGCGCGAAAAUCAUGUCAAGACUCUGCUGAAAAAUCUGAAAGCGUCUGAAUCAAUUGAUCAAAAAACUUACAAUGAACUGUUUCCUACAGGUUCGCGCUUAGGCAUCCUGUAUGGACUACCUAAGACACAUAACAUGUAAUAUCCCACUUAGGCCUAUCCUUUCUUGCAUUAAUCAUUAUUCGUAUAAUAUUGCUAAAUUUUUUAUUCCUCUUCUCACUCCCAUCUCGACCAGCACUUAUGUCAUUAAAGAUUCCUUCUCUUUCGUCCAGGACCUUCGUUCUU
rnacentral:lncRNA from 1 species